rnacentral:rRNA from 1 species
AUUGAACGCUAGCGGGAGGCUUUACACAUGCAAGUCGAACGAGUGGCAGACGGGUGAGUAAUAUAUCUGAACGUGCACAGUAGCGGGGGAUAACUCCUAGAAAGUGUGGCUAAUACCGCAUACUAUUGGGUCGGCCGAUAUCGGAUUAGAGAGUGGGGGGGGAAAAGGCUCACCAAGGAAAAGAUCCGUAGAUGGUUUGAUCGGACGACCAGCCAAACUGGGACUGAGACACGGCCCAGAUUCCUACGGGAGGCAGCAGUGGGGAAUUUUGGACAAUGGGGGAAACCCUGAUCCAGCCAUCCCGCGUGUAUGAGAAGGCCUUCGGGUUGUAAAGUACUUUUGGCAGAGAAGCGGUAUCUGCAGAAUAAGCACCGGCUAACUACGUGCCAGCCGCCGCGGUAAUAC